rnacentral:rRNA from 1 species
UAAUACAGAGGUCCCAAGCGUUGUUCGGAUUCACUGGGCGUAAAGAGUGCGUAGGUGGCCUAUUAAGUUUGAUGUGAAAUCUCCGAGCUCAACUCGGAAACUGCAUUGGAUACUGGUAAGCUAGAGGGUCGGAGGGGAGACUGGAAUUCUUGGUGUAGCAGUGAAAUGCGUAGAUAUCAAGAGGAACACCAAUGGCGAAGGCAAGUCUCUGGACGACCCCUGACACUGAGGCACGAAAGCUAGGGGAGCAAACAGGAUUAGAUACCCUGGUAGUCCUAGCCGUAAACGGUGCACACUUGCUAUAAGAGGAAUCGACCCCUUUUGCGGCGAAGCUAACGCGUUAAGUGUGCCGCCUGGGGAGUACGGUCGCAAGAUUA